UACGUAGGGGGCGAGCGUUGUCCGGAGUUACUGGGCGUAAAGGGCAUGCAGGCGGUCCGACACGUUUUGUGUGACAGCGGGUGGCUUAACUACCCGAGGAUACGAAAGACGGUAGGACUUGAGGACUCGAGAGGGACACGGAAUUCCGGGUGGAGUGGUGAAAUGCGUAGAGAUCCGGAGGAACACCGAAAGGCGAAGGCAGUGUCCUGGCGAGUGACUGACGCUGAGGUGCGAAAGCCAGGGGAGCGAACGGG
rnacentral:rRNA from 1 species